UACCCAUAUCACAGGUCACUGCAAAUUCGUAAGAAGACGUAUAGUGGCUGACGCCUGCCCGGUGUUGUAAGGUUAACUUUUAAUGUUUUAGCUUUGAAUUUAAGCCACAAUAAACGGCGGCUGUAACUCUGACGGUCUAAAGGUAGCGAAAUUCUUUGUCACCUAAUUAGUGACCUGCAUGAAUGGCGUAACGACUUUUUUACUGUCUCUUGCGCAAGCUUAGUGAAAUUGAAAUAACUGUGAAGAUACGGUUUUUUAAUAGCAAGACGAAAAGACCCUGGCACCUUUACUGCAGGUAUCUAUUGUAACUGUGUAUUUUUUGUAUAGAAUAAGUGGUAGUUUUUUAGGCUAAAACAUCUGUGAAAUACCACUCUUAAACUAUAUUUUUACUAACUUAAACUGGAGAGAACAGUGGGUAUUGGGUAGUUUGGCUGGGGCGGUCACCUUCCAAAUUGUAACGAAGGUGUGCAAAAGGCAAAUUCAAAGAUGCUUUUUUUUUGAUGAGUGCAAUAGCAAAAAUUUGCUUGACUGUAAGAAAUACAAUUCAAGCAGGGAUUUACGUCGGUUAUAGUGAUCUGAUGUUUUUUUAUGGAGAAAGCAUCACUUUUCGGAAAAAAGGUACGCCAGGGAUAACAGGCUAAUGAUUUUUUAGAGUUCUUAUCGACAAAAUUGUUUGGCACCUCGAUGUCGGCUUUUCACAUCCUGGAGCUGUAGUUGGUUCCAAGGGUUUGGUUGUUCGCCAAUUAAAGUGAAACAUGAGCUGGGUUCAGAACGCCGUGAGGCAGUUUGGUUUCUAUCUACUAAUAUUUGAAGAAAAUUUGAAAAAAUAAACCUUAGUACGAGAGGACUGGGAAAAGUAAACCUCUUGUUUAACGGCUGUUCUUUUGUAGAGCAUUGUCGUAUAGCUACGUUUAUAUUAGAUAAUCACUGAACGCAUUUAAGUGAGAAAUUAUUUUUAAGGCCUGUUUUCUAUUAAAAGAGUCGUGAACACCGAUCACGUAAUUAGGUACUGCGU
rnacentral:rRNA from 1 species